CGGGGCGGCAAAACGUCCGCCCGGGCCCGAGGCGGGCGGAGGCAGCUGUGGUUACGUGCGGGGGGCCGGUGACGCAGUCGCGGGGCGCUGGGACGCGGCUUGCGGAGCCGGCCGGCGAGCGCAGGCCCCAGGCUCGGGCGCGGCGGCGGGACAGCACCUACCUUCCCGGCUUCGGGUCCGGGAGUGCGGGGCGCGGAGCCGCCGGAGCGCUGCCUCCCUCCUUCCUCCUCCCCUCGCCCCCGCCCCGCGGCGCGACACACAAUACUCGCCGGAAGCGGAAGCCGCGCCGAGGCUCGUGUCAGUGGAAGCUGGGGUGUCGGCGGGCGGCCGCGGCCGGGUCUAGCGGUGCCUGCGGAAGAAGGAGGAGGAGGGCUGGCGAUGAGAAGCAGCAGGGGGAAUCAAGGGCAAGAAGGGACCCAGAGGGGCAGGUGGCUGAGAUGCUGGCGUCCAGGUGACCCGAGGAAUCCUCUGGAGAUACAGGCCCGCGCAUGCGCGUGCUCGAGCGCUGAAGCCCAUUGCCCGCAGGGCGCUGGACUGGCGCCCCGGCCGGCGAGGCUGUCUAGUCCAGGCUCCAGGCCCCGGCUCUGGCCAGGCGCCGCCGCCUCCCGGUGCAGCUGAAAGUCGACGAAGAGGGCGGGGCGGGGGCGGCUUGUGGACUUCCACACUUUUCCUCUCUUCGGGCCAGUCUGGGGAGAGGGUGGCUAGCUGUGGCGGCGGCCAAUUACGUGGCGGACCUGCGGGGCUAAGCUGGCACGUCACUUCCGACUAGUGGAGUUUUUAGCCUUUUAACAUUCAAGGAUUAGAGCUCCCUCUUUGCCCACUAGCAGGGCAUUAGCUGGUGCUGAAGACAGUGGCUGCUUGGCGAGCCUGGAUCUCCAAGUGACCCCCUCAGCAACUCCUGAUGAACAGGACUGAAGCCAAUAUUAAAGCAAGUCAACCAAAGGUUCUCUGGUGUAGACAAGACAGCAAAAGGACAGACUACCUUGUGGAACCUAGCAUUGUUCUCCUUCUGCAGCACUAAGUAACAUUUGUUCUCCGUUAAGAUCUUUGCAAACCACACACAAGAAUUGCUGGUCAUCCUGCCAAUAGAUGCUGCUCACAGAACCAAAUUUCCUGUGCUGAAUUGUCACUCAUGGGCUUGAGAGUAGGAGACUGGAGACCAAGGUGGCUAGAAUCCAGUUGGGCCUGAUGUCUCCCUGUUGAAAGGGCUCCUUGUGGAAUGAAUAGCACAUGGCUCCUGUGGUGGAUCUGAUAGUGGCAUAGCACCAAGUGAUGCAGGCCUGCCAGGGGCCACAGACACAGAAGAUGCUCCCGGGGUCCCCCAUGUACUCCAGACACACUGCAGGCCACCUCUCCCAGCAGGUUGCCAGUCAUGGGCCCCAUCAUCAUGACUUCUGUCCAAGGUGUGCUCGGAAAUCUCUUCCUUAACUGUGACUUUCUGACAGGUGGAGGAUGUGGUCAGGAGUGGGAAAAGGAUUCGAGACGGGAAGAGGGAGGGGUUCAGGAUGAAGAGAGAUAAUCUGUGCCACAGAUGCUGGCCCUGCAGUUAGCUCCCACCUAGUCCGUGCACACACAUUCUAAUCCCCUCCCAUUCCUUUACAUGCUGCGGCCAGAGAGGCCUUUCUCAAAGUGGAAGUCUCAUCCUCACUUCUCUGGUUACAGUGCUGGGCCAUGGUAACUUACAAGGCUUAGCAGGAACUGUCUGCGCACUCCCCCUUCCUGCCCACUACCUUGUUUCCCUCCAGUUGCGAGAGAAAACAUUGAUUGAGCAUUAACUAUGUGCCAGGCUUGUCCUAAGUCCUUUGCAUGUAUUCACUCAAACAAUCCUCACAACAUUCCUAUCACAUCUCCCAUUUCACAGUGAGGGUUCUAAAGCACGUAGUGGGUGAGGAACUUGUCCAGGGUCACACAACUAAGUGGGGGUGGAGAAACAUCAAAUCUAGGUGGUCCAGGUGGUGGCCAGAACCCAUCAGCACCUCACUACAGCUGCCUCCAGUUUCUCGCUCUAGGAAAUACUCUUCCCUGUCAACUCCUGUUGUCCUCUGGGCUCAGUUGACAUGUCAUCUCCUUGAGGAGGACAUCCUGAGAUGCUCCCCGACUAGGGUGGGCACCCACUUCCACACUCCAAAUGCCUAUUUGACCUGUGUAUCGCUGCAUCCCCACUGCCUGGCAGAUAGCAGGCCCCUAAUAAAUAUGAUUUGAGCAAAUAAAUAUAGUUCUUCAAAAAAUAGGGAGGACUUCUUGCUUCAGGUAAUGGUAGGCUAGGACAUUUGGACCAACCCUCCUGCAGAAAAUAGCCAUUUAUUUUGAUGCAAUAUAUCUGGCUAUGACUAGAGAUUUCAAAUAUUUGGAGGGCUAUUAUGUGAAGAACUAAACUUACUCUUUGUGACAUAGAGGUCAGAAAUUGGUCGUUUCCAUAGAGUAUGAGAGAGACAGAAUUGUGCUCAUCAUAAGUAUCUUUUUUAAAAGUUAGACUUAAUAAAAUGGGCUGCCUUGGUAGGUGGUGAGUUCUCUGUCACGAAAGAGAUUCAGCCACUUGCUCUGAGAAAGCAUGGAGAAUAUCAACAUUGUAAGGGUCGACCACCUCAUCUCUGAGGCCCCCUCCUCACUUAGGUUGCCAUUGCAGGUGGAACACUGGGCUGAGUGUCAAAGAACCUGGGUUCCACAAGCUGUGCGACCAUGGCUGGUUGUUUUGGAUCUCAUUCCUAAUAUCUGUUAGUUAAGCUGACCCGUCAAUACUGACCCACUUCACAGAGUUAUGAAGGGAUUAAAUUAGGUAUUACAUGUAAAUCUGUUUUGUUUGCUUUUUGUUGUUCUUUUUUGUUUUGCUUUUUUCUUUGCAUUAUGAAAUCCCAAGUCAACUUUUUCCAUUCUUUUAUUUUUUUAAAAAUUGACAUCAUCAUUAUAACCACAAAAUAAUUUUUAAAAUGGAAAAAAAAAACUCACCUGCAACCCCACAAUCUAAUACAAUAAUCAUACUUUUUUCCCUUUAUUCUCCUUUAUUGUGACCAAGGAUGACUUUGGGCAUUGCUGUGAGGAACUAUUUCGUUUAACACCCUACUACCUGAACAUGAUGCGUACUCAGCCUUUCACCACCCCCCAAGUAGCUACACAUGAUGUGAUAAUAGUAUUGGUGGUGGUUUUAGAGAGUUGGAGAGAAAACUGAAGUUGGAUUUGGGUAAAAGAAAAAAGAGUGGGAAUUAUUUUUUCUCCAUUCUAAAGCCCAUAAAGCAAUGUUAAUUGUUCCCACCCCUCUGCUAUUCUGUCUCCUCAGGUACUGUGUGCAGAAAUGUGAUUGAGAUUCAAGUCAGGGCCUCUCUGCCCUUUUCCCUCCAGAAACAAAACCAAGAUAAUUUAUCCUGAACACGGUGAAAAAAGGAAGGGAGGGAGGAGAAAAAGUCCGGGUCUCACCUGGGAUUCUCUGUCUCCUGCAACAUGAAGGAUUUAGCCUGGGAGGAGGUGGUGAGAACUCUGGGAGAGAAAAAAGAAGGAAAGAAUAGUUUUACCCAUGCUGAAGUUAAUUUAAACCUUCACCUAGAGAAGCAAAAAAAAAAAACCCACACUUUCCCAUUUUGUGCCUCCCUUCCUAGAGUUUUAGCCAAAGGUUUAGCUAAGUAAUUGGUUUUACCAGCGCACUCACUCCUCCUAUCCCAAGUCUGUUUGACUCCCUCCCCAUCAUCCUCCUCACCUCUUUUCAGGCAGGGUGGGGAUAGCAGCAGGAGGAGAUUUUGGGAGCCUGGCAACUCCUGCAAGGACCGCAGGACAGCCCCUCUGUGGGGAUGCGUGGUGCCCCAUCUGCCGCCCUUCUGAAGAAUGCACUGCCUUCACUUUUUACUGUGUUAGAGUCCAUCCAGACUGUUCUAUCCAAAAAAGUUUCUUUUUCCCCCACAGGCAAUCAGGAAAUGAUUCCUUUCCCGACUGCUUCUGUCUAGUGCCUGGGAAUCUUGAGUCAAUCCCUCAGUAAGUCAGUGACUAGGGAAAUCCCUCUCUGAGCCUCCCAGUUCAUGUUGCUUAGGGAACCUGAUAUUUUCGUGAAACCUGCCUACACAUGGGCAGCCCAACAGCAGAACAAAUGGUGGUGACCAAAGUGAACAAAGAAGUAUAGUUGUGCCAGCUUCGUAGUUGCCCAUGUGGACAAGUCAGCAGGAUCAGGACACGAGGAAGAGUAAAUGUGAGACAGUCAAUGUGACUUCUGCGAUAAACAGAUUUUUAAACCCCGAAAUUUUGCAAAAUUUUGGUGAAACCUGAACUUUCUUCGUUGCAUAUACUGGCACUAUCUGUACCAUCAUACAACUGUCUCACAUUAAAGCUAUUUUUCUUGGGCACUGAUGAGUAAGGUUGGUAUAAGUUCCUCAGAUCAACAAAAACCCAUUUUCCUGUAAGUCUUACAUUUAGUAUUUAAGGAACUAAAACUUAAAUACAUUUUGUGAAAUGGUUGACACUUCACUGAUAAUGAUUUAUUGCUUGGAUUAAUAAAUUUUCCAAAAGUUGUCUUAUGUAGAAUAUGGUUUGCAACCAGCAGAACCAUUAAUCUAUACUGCAAUGAUAUGCACUAUGUAUAAUUGUUUAAAAGCCUCUACUUAAUGAUGUAAAAUGCUCUAUUUAAUUACACAUUUGGGUAAACUGUAUACUAACAUCUGAUGGCAUUUUUCCACUGUUUGUUGCUUUUUUCAAAUACUUUAUUGUACAAAGCUGUUCUUAAUAUUUUUCAAGUUUUUUUCUUUGAAUUUUGCUAAUGUUUUCCUUGAAUUAUGAGCACUGACAGAAUGUGCUUAGCACUUUUGGCUAUUCACACAGCUUUUGAGCAUGAUUUGCAUCCAAUAUUUACAUUGCUAGCAAUAAUAAGCCAUCUGUGAGUUUUGUCAAAAGUUAUUGGGGAUUUUUUAAAUUUUAGAAAUGCAAAUUAUUGUUUCUUUGAACUAACUCUUAUGCAGUUGCAAAGGCAUUUCCAGUUGUUAUAGUUUGUGUACAAUAUCAGGUGUUCCAGAUUAUGAUUCAUUAUUAAUAUCAUUGCUUCCUUGUUCCCUCUGAGGUCCAGAAGAUUCAUGUUUACAAUAUUUAGAAACAAUGUUAAAAAGGUAUCCAAAGUUUGUCACUUUAUUAUUAGUUUGUUCUUAAUAUUCUGUUUAAGUUUUUGAAUUCAUAGAUAUCAAAACGCUGCACAAUUAUGAUUUCCACAGGAAUAACAACACACUAACAAUAAGAACCAAAAACAGCAAAUAGGCUGCCUACAAGUUUUGACAAUAUUAGGAUAAUGAUAAUGACAGUUUUUCUAAAUCUCACAGUAAAGAAUGCAGCAACCCAGCAACACUGCUACCUGUGGCCUCAGGCUGCAGUGUCAGCUCUUCCCUGGGUCUCCAGCCUGCCAGUCUAACCUGAAAAUUAUGUACUUGCCAGCCCCCACAGUCACGUGAGUGAACUGGCCCAGGCUGGUCACCAGGGUCAGUUUCUCUGUGUGUCAUUAAUUCAUUCAGUCUUCAGCAGUCUCUUUGGAGCUGAGAUGUACCUACCAUCUGCCUUUUGGGUGCUUAGGGUGGAGAACCAGAAAAGUAUAACCUAGUGUGUAUCCUCAAAGAGCUAACAAUAUGGGGUGGUACCUAUAGGUCUGGAAACACUUUACUGACUCUGUGAGGCAUACCAGGAGACGUCAGAGAACAGUCCCUCCUCAAAUGCCAAAUGAGAUGCAGAAGAAAUAGUUUGCUCAAGUUCAUGGGCCAGAUAUCCCAGUGGUCAGGGAGUUUCAUGAAUGAGAUGGAACUUUGCAUGGAACCCGAGGGAUGUGUAUGAUUUGAGUAGAUGAAGAAAAUGAGACUUUCCAAGCAGCUAGAAGUUAGGGAGCAGCAAGAUGUGUGGUGGGAUUGAGCACAGUUGGUUCAGAGGAUAGACUGCAGUUUUAAUAAUUUGUAGUAAAUAUCUCCCAACUGUUUGGCACUAUUGGAGCAAGUUCUUGAAUGCCAAAUGAAGGCAUAAAUCAGUAAGAGGCAUAAUAAAAGGCUGAGCAGUGCUUGGCUUUUUACGAACUGAUCCUGAUAGGAGCAGCUGUUCAACAAAGUUGCCAGGUCACCGUUACAUAGUCCCUGCCUUCUAGGGGCUCACUGCCUACUGGGAGAGACAGUCUGAAAGUUGGUGGAGCAUGUAACUGUUGGAUGAGGACUUUGAGCCUGUGGACUGUGGGACCCCCGAGGAGGGUGUGGCUACUCUAGGCAGAACAAUCCCACAGUUUAUUUAUAUUUAACCUUGAAAUUCAUUAGAGGAUUUUUCAGCAGAGGUUUGGUACUUGUUAAUGUUAAGGUUUGCAUUCUCUAGAACCUCAAGGAAAGCUGUACCGUGCAUAAUGUACCCUCUUAUGUUAAUGUUGUGUACUGUGAUCCUGUUUCAGGGACUUGCACUUAGGAAUCUGUUACAGUGAGCACAGAAGCAGACCUGUGGGCUCAUAGUCUUCACCCCCCACCCAUAUAUACAAGAUGAACAGAGUGGAGGUUAAACAACUUGACUAAACAACACAGUUCAUGGUAAAGCCCAAGACUGUACCUGCCCAUCCACUGCCUUUUCCAUGUAUCCUGGAACUGAGCAUAGACCUCUUCCCAGGCAGAGCUGACAGCAAGUAAAGGAGAUCAUAAUCAGGGGACCAAACAACUUUGUCUAAAGUGUGAAUGUCACCUAAGGAGAAGCUGUGAGAUCAGAAGGGUGGGGCAGAGGAGCAGACACCAUGAGGGAGAGUCCUUGGGGGUACAUCUGCCAGACUGACACUGUCUGGCCUGGGCAGUGGAGGGGCUAGCAGGAACCACAGGUACUGGUGGUGUGGCUACUACCGUUACAACUGCCUGUGCUUGGACAUGGACCCUCUGCAAUAUGCGGCAGUUUCAUUCAUUGCCCCCUACAUUCUACACCAAGUAGAAAUGGAAGGCAAUUGGAUACUUCACAGACAAGAUCUAAGUGGAGAAGGAAUGCGUCCUGUGGCUGCAGAGAUCCUUGGAGCUUGGAGGGGAGAGCUUGAGCCCCACUGAUGAUGACCUCCCACAGCUCGCCAACUCAGCCCUCCCUAAGUCCCCAUCGGGGGCCAAUUCUCACUCUGGGGUUGGGGGGACUCCACCAUAGCUCAUCCAUCAUAGGGAUGUUGGUAUCUACUGUGGGUUGGGUAGGGCCGAUGUGCUGAGGAUGGCUCCCCCACAAGCAAGAGAUGUGGAUUUGGGGAGCUUCCCAUCUUGUGUUGAAGGAACAUAACUCAGAAUAAUAAGAGCCAACUAUAACAAACCCACAGCCAACAUCAUACUGAAUGGGCAAAAGCUGCAGGCAUUCCCCUUGAAAAGUGGCACAGGAUAAGGAAGCCCUUUCUCACCACUCCUAUUCAAUAUAGUGUUGAAAGUCCUGAUCACAGCAGUCAGGCAACAGAAAUAAUAAAGGGCAUCCAAAUAGGAAGAGAGGAAGUCAAACUAUCCUUGUUUGCAGACAGUAUGAUUCUAUAUCUAGAAAACCCCAUAGCCUCAGCCCAAAAGGUCCUUCAUCUGAUAAUUUCAGCAAAGUUUCAGGAGACAAAAUCAGUGUACAAAAAUCACUAACAUUCCUAUACACAGUCGCCAAGCCAAGAGCCAAAUCAGGAGCACAAUCCCAUUCAUAAUUGCCACAAAAAAGAAUAAAAUACCCAGGAAUGCAGCUAACCAAGGAAGUAAAGGAUCUCUACAAUGAGAAUCACAAACGCUGCUCAAAGAAAUCAGAGAUGACACAAACAAAUGGAAAAACUUUCCAUGCUCAUGGCUAGGAAGAAUCAAUAUCAUUAAAGUGGCCAUACUACCCAAAGCAAUUUAUAGAUUCAAUGCUAUUCCUAUCAAACUAUCAAUUACAUUUUUCACAGAACUAGAAAAAACUUAAAAUUCAUAUGGAACCAAAAAGCCUGAGUAGUCAAGGCAAUCCUAAACAAAAAGAACAAAGGUGGAGGCAUCACAUUACCUAACUUCAAACUACAGGGCUACCAUGACCAAAACAGCAUGGUACUGGUACAAAAGCAGACACACAGACCAGUGGGACAGAAUAGAGAGCCCAAAAAUAAGGCCACAAACCUACAGCCAUCUGAUCUUCAACAAAGUUGACAAAAACAAGCAAUGGGGAAAGGUCUCCCUAUUCAAUAAAUGGUGCUGGGAUAACUGGCUGGCCAUAUGCAGAAGAUCGUAACUGGACCCCUUUUACUAUGUACAAAAAUUAAGAUGGUUUAAAGAGUUAAAACCCAAAAUUAUAAAAAUCCUGAAGAUAACUUAGGCAAUACCAUUCUGGACAUAGGAACUGGCAAAUAUUUCAUGAUGAAGACACCAAAAGCAAUUGUAACAAAAGCAAAAAUGGACAAAUUGGAUUUAAGAGCUUUUUCAUAGCAAAAUAAACAACAGGGCAGACAAUCUACCAAAUGACAGAAAAUUUUUGCAAACUAUGCAUCUGACAAGGGGCUAAUAUCUAGCAUCUAUAAGGAAUUUAAACACAGUUACAGG
rnacentral:lncRNA from 1 species